AUUGAACACUGGCGGCAGGCUUAACACAUGCAAGUCGAGCGGGGUGAUGGUGCUUGCACUAUCACUUAGCGGCGGACGGGUGAGUAAUGCUUAGGAAUCUGCCUAUUAGUGGGGGACAACAUCUCGAAAGGGAUGCUAAUACCGCAUACGUCCUACGGGAGAAAGCAGGGGAUCACUUGUGACCUUGCGCUAAUAGAUGAGCCUAAGUCGGAUUAGCUAGUUGGGGGGGUAGAGGCCUGCCAAGGCGACGAUCUGUAGCGGGUCUGAGAGGAUGAUCCGCCACACUGGGACUGAGACACGGCCCAGACUCCUACGGGAGGCAGCAGUGGGGAAUAUUGGACAAUGGGGGGAACCCUGAUCCAGCCAUGCCGCGUGUGUGAAGAAGGCCUUAUGGUUGUAAAGCACUUUAAGCGAGGAGGAGGCUCUUUUGGUUAAUACCCAAGAUGAGUGGACGUUACUCGCAGAAUAAGCACCGGCUAACUCUGUGCCAGCCGCCGCAGUAA
rnacentral:rRNA from 1 species